AGUGAGGAAUUUUUUUUAUUAAAAAACAAUACAUUUCUAUAUGUUGCAAGCUUAAGAGAAAAAGAUAUGGCUGAAAUUAUUAAGUUUAUUUACUUAAUGAUCAUUUUUAUUUCCUUAUUUCAUAACGUAACCGGCAAGAGGACAGGAUAAGAAGUGCAAAGAUAAUUCAGAUUGUUUACUAUAUUUUUGUGUAUCUCCUUAUGUUCCAAAGUGCAUUGGUUUUAAAUGUAGAUGUCGUCCAUUAAGCCUAUCUUUAGAUUGAUGAGAUAUGAUGGAAUGAAAUGAUAUAUAAUAAGAUUCUAUUGUAUGCAUUGAUGAAAUGUAAAUGAAAUGGAAUGAAAUACAAUGGAACCAAUUUCAUUCAAUAUUACUCGAUCUUUCAAUUUUUCGUCUCACUCAAUUUAAGGUGUAUCUAGUGGAAUGAAACUUAAGUCUUGAAAUUCAAAUACAUGGAUACUUAUUUUA